CCUUCGAACCCGAGGACAUUGGUGACUAUGCCACUUCAUUUCUUUCCGGAGAUCUUCCUCAGAUGUGCAAUCGAUUUGCUUCUUUCCGGAUAGGAUCGCGAAGUGGUGUUGUGAGAUACGACAAGUCCUCCGGAUGUUCCUCGGUAAUCUUUAACAGGCAAGCAUUUCAUAAACUCCUGUCUCUGCAGGAGUCGUUCCCCUAUUUUAUUUUGCCUUCUCCCUUAUGCUAGCCUUGAGUUGUGUUCUUGUCAUGUGUCCUAUCCACUUGUUACCUCAAGCAGCCCAUAUUGCCACCACCACUCUCCUACAGCUGUUGUAUGGUUAUCGGGUCUGCCUUGCGAGUCGUAGUGCAUGCUAGUGUUCUUUAUAUCUCGUUACCGUUAUCGUUAUCUUAUCGUGUUAUCUGUUGGAAAAUCAUGACACAUGGUUUAUGGAUAUACUGUUGGAGAUACACAUGCUUUACUUAAUUGUUAACAACUAAAAUUGUAAGCAGAGGCAUCUGUGAGCCCCUUUGCGAAAGCAUCGAAACUUUGACUCGCUAAUGUCCUCUAAGACCCGAGUUCUUGUUAUCUGUUUCGAGAUUGAGCGCUCUACCCGUACGUGGGGGAGUGGGACCCCCAUCACCCACUACCUUUCCUCGAGUCUGUUUAUUGGGAGCCACAACCUUGGUUUUAUUUGGCCAUAUGCACGAUGCACGAUUUACUUCCUGUUGCCUUCGGGUGUUUAUAUUAUGUACUGUACUCAUCUCGUGGAACGAUUAGCGACAGUAGGUUGUUCACACUUAGCUUAGCCGUUGACACAAACCUCUGGGUCCGUAUCAGAGUAUGGCCGCACUUCGUCACGGGUAGCUUAGUGGGGUGUCUCCCCUUAAACUUUCUCUUGCAUUGGGAACAGUCUUGUUAUCAGACUCCACCUGUAGGGUUCGAGGAUGCGUAUGGUUACAUUUGGGCAACCCCUGUAGGGUGUACAUCUUAUCGAUAAGCCGUGUCCGCGGUUAUGGAUGACUUGGAAUUGUAUAGUUUGAUCAUAUAACAACUUACACCUUUAUUUGAUGUUAAUAAUUUGCUAAUAACUUGCGUAGUAAAUUAGCAUUACUACAAAGGUUACCUAAUAAAACUUUUUCACCGUGUGAGUGCCUUUGUAAGUACUUCCUUGCGAGAGGGGAACACAUUGGUCGGGUUAUGUUUGCAGAGUAUAGAACUACUAGCUUAUGCGCUCUCUCAUCUUCUCUGAUUAGACGAAUGUUGUAGAGUGUCUCUAUAGGUUUUUAGUGCUUGCGCGCUGCCGCUUAACCCCACCAUAUUGCCUAUGAUGUUCCUCUUGUGUCCUCUAAGUUGACGAAUGCUUAUACGCCUUGAAGUCUUGUUAAGUACGAACCCGUACUUAUUGCUGCUUCUUUGGGACAUAACCGGGCAGGUAUGAAGUUAUGUUCGAUGAAGACGAUGUUAGCAAGGUUACCUUUCCGGCUUGGCCUAGGCAGGAUUAUGGACGCCAUCGUUUAUCUUCAGGACUCUUAGUCCAAUUUGUAUCUUGUUCGUACUCGGACGUAUUUGAUCUUCUGUAUGAUUUGGAUCUUUGUAUUGUAUAUUUGUAUCUUGACUCGUUGGAGUCGUUGUUGAAAUAUAUGUUUUUUGUGGGCUCUAUUGUAAUCCUGUUGUAAUAUUA